CACUCACCCAACGGAUACUUAUCGAGGACCUGCUAUAUUUCGCUCUGCAGUGCCCUGAGGGUUUGAGGUCUUGGACUUGCUACCAACCUACCAGGUAACCAUGGACAAGCCCCUUCUCCUUCUUGGAUUGAUAAUCAUAAAAGCCACACUUUACUGAGUCAUGAACAUGUUCAAGAUGCUGAUUGCUCACCACUCACAACAGUCCCUUGAGCCUCAGCAGGCCUCUCCUGCCCACGAAAGGCCAAGAGUGUGGCUGUCUCUGUGCCGAAGGCCUCUGGACAGUGCAGGGCGAGGCUCCAGGAUUAGACAAGGUGACUCAGGGUUGGCAGCCACUGCGUCUCCACAGCAGAGCUCUGGUGCUCCCGGCAGGAGAUGCUGCAGCAAGCUGCUGGCUGUGCUGCGUUCCUGUCCCCCCAGGCCUAAUGAGAAGAGACAGGCCAACCACAGUGCCUGCGGGGGGCGGGUGCUCCAUGGGGACC
rnacentral:lncRNA from 10 species